rnacentral:tRNA from 1 species
GCUGCCGUCGUCUAUUGGUUAAGACGUGCCCUUUGCAUCGGUGAAAACUGGGUUCGAUUCCCAGCGGCAGCU